CGCUGAUAUCGCCCCCGAGGCGAUCGGGCGAACUGUGGUUAAGGAACUCGGCAAAUUACCCCCGUAACUUCGGGAGAAGGGGGGCCACAGACCGUGAAACCCCAUGCGGGUGGCAGCGGUAGGUGGCCGCAGAGACCAGGGGGAAGCGACUGUUUACUAAAAACACAGGUCCGUGCGAAGUCGUAGGACGAUGUAUACGGACUGACGCCUGCCCGGUGCUGGAACGUUAAGGGGACCGGUUAGUCCGCAAGGGCGAAGCUGAGAACUUAAGCGCCAGUAAACGGCGGUGGUAACUAUAACCAUCCUAAGGUAGCGAAAUUCCUUGUCGGGUAAGUUCCGACCUGCACGAAUGGCGUAACGACUUCCCUACUGUCUCAACCACAGGCCCGGCGAAAUUGCACUACGAGUAAAGAUGCUCGUUACGCGCGGAAGGACGGAAAGUCCCCGGGACCUUCACUAUAGCUUGACAUUGGUACUCGAAUUGAAUUGUGUAGGAUAGGUGGGAGACUAUGAAGCUCGGACGCCAGUCCGGGUGGAGUCAACGUUGAAAUACCACUCUGUUGAAUUUGGGUAUCUAACUUCGGACCGUGAUCCGGUUCAGGGACAGUGUCUGGUGGGUAGUUUAACUGGGGCGGUUGCCUCCUAAAAUGUAACGGAGGCGCCCAAAGGUUCCCUCAGCCUGGUUGGCAAUCAGGUGUUGAGUGCAAGUGCACAAGGGAGCUUGACUGUGAGACUGACAGGUCGAGCAGGGACGAAAGUCGGGACUAGUGAUCCGGCACCGGCGAGUGGAAGCGGUGUCGCUCAACGGAUAAAAGGUACCCCGGGGAUAACAGGCUGAUCUUCCCCAAGAGUCCAUAUCGACGGGAUGGUUUGGCACCUCGAUGUCGGCUCGUCGCAUCCUGGGGCUGGAGUAGGUCCCAAGGGUUGGGCUGUUCGCCCAUUAAAGCGGCACGCGAGCUGGGUUUAGAACGUCGUGAGACAGUUCGGUCCCUAUCCUCCGCGCGCGCAGGAGACUUGAGAAGAGCUGUCCCUAGUACGAGAGGACCGGGACGGACGAACCUCUGGUGUGCCAGUUGUCAUGCCAAUGGCACGGCUGGUUAGCUACGUUCGGAAGGGAUAACCGCUGAAAGCAUCUAAGCGGGAAGCCUGCUUCAAGAUGAGGUCUCCCACCCCUCGAGGGUUAAGGCCCCCAGCAAGACCACUGGGUUGAUAGGCCAGAAGUGUAAGCCUGGUAACAGGUUCAGCCGACUGGUACUAAUAGGCCGAGGACUUCU
rnacentral:rRNA from 1 species